AACAACAACAACAACAAUAAAUACACCAAACACAAAAUCACUGAGUCACGGACUCAGGACCAUGACAGAAAACAGUUUAUUUUCUAAAAACAUUUUUGUUAAAUCUAUUAUUCGCUGUUUUUAGUUUACUCCGUGACGGGGCUGGAUAUCGGGCGUCUUGCACCAGCCAUCCGGUCUGGAGCAUAGCGAAUGACGUCACAAAGGUACUCUGUGGCAGGUCACAAAGCUGACACACUGCUAACAACUUUACAGCACCUUUGCUAAUAUAGCUUUAUGCAAGCUUUAUAACAGAAAGAACAUUAUGACAUGAAAAUGUCAUGUUUGUGCAGAUUUCGCGUUUUCUAAGAAAUACAUAAAGACAGACAACAUUUUAACUGCUACUAUUACUAAAGUUAUUAUUAUGGGAGGCUCGAAGUGGGCGGGGCUUAAGACGUGUAUGACGUUCAAAGACGUCAUACACUUCAAAGGAUUUAAGUUAAAACCGAACCCAUAAAUACCCCUCUGCAAGAACGGAUUUUCAAACGCCAGCUUUAACAAAGCGAAAACAAAUUAUCUGCAAAUAGAUAUUAAAACGCAAUGGGCAACAAACCAUCAACUGUUACCAACCCAACACAGGAGACACCACCUGAACUGGAAUCUAGGCCAAAGAAUCGAAAAUGCAAAAACCUGCUUGCGUGCUUGUGUGCAUGCUGUAUGGGGAGCUCAGAUGACUCAGACACAGAAGAUUCAAACCAGGGGCAAUCUGCUAUUUCACAGCAAAAAUCGGUUGUGAACAUAGUAAACAGUUCCUUUGGUCCCAGUAAUACUAUUAAUAUCAGGAAUACAAAUACUGCCCGGAAUAUUCAAGUUGAUAUCUUUAGCAAACUGCAGCUAGAGCUCCCUCCGGGUACAAUGGAGUUUGUGUGAAUCCUCUUUUUUAAAUAACUUUUAAAUUAACAUCAAUAAAAGUUUUGAAAUUUUACUCUCUGAUUUCUGUUUGUUUUCAUUGUGUGUACGUUGUGUUAUGUGUUAUUCAGUUCAAACUGUGGGUAGAAAAUGCAGAGAAAAUGCUGUGCUGUCAUGUGACCUGUUCUCUUGUGCUCUUCUCUCCUCAGCCUCUCUCUGCUGCCUCUCUGAUGAGGUCUAGCAGCUCAUCAUUUCGGUCUCUUUUCCUCUUUGACGGAAUUUGUCCUUCCGUUUUUGGUUAUGCCACUGCACCCAAUGCUGUCAUGAUCCCACGGGCCCUGUUGAAACUGUCAUUAUAUACCCCUGAAUUAGAGGAUGACUGCGGUAUACUCAUAGCUCACCUGGACUUGCAUUUAUGCCAAGUUGAAUUAGUUAAAUCAGUUAUUUUGGUCAAUUAUUUUGUGCCUAUUUUAAAAAUCCUGCCUUUUUGGAGUAGUUACUGCCAUGAUAGCAACAAAAUUCAAAUAUUUUUAGAAAUCCGUUUUUAAUAAUUUGAUGUUGUGCUUCCAUUAACCUUAUCAGUGGUCAGAUAUUUAUUUGCCUGCUCUAGUCUCUUAUAUGUGGGUGCACUUGAUGUGUGUCUUUGUAUAACUGGAGUGGCCUUAUUAACAUGCACAUAGUUGAUCACCUCACUUGAUUUGAUGCCUUCAUGGGCCUUCAGCUUCAGCUGAAACAGCUCACAUUUUCUUCUUCUUUUGGCUGUUCCCUUUAUGGGUCACCACAGAGGAUUAUCUCACCCUGUCCCCAACACCCUCUUCUGUCACACCAACCCUCUGCAUGUCCUCCUUCGCUCCAUCAUUCUUCUCCAUUGUCCUCCUCUUUUCCUUACUUCGAGGCAGAUCCAUCUUCAGCAUUCUUUGUCCAACAUGUCCAAAUGAUCUCAACCUUGCCUCUCUGACUUUGUCUUCAAAGUGCUCAACCUGCGCUGUCCCUAUGAUAGACCCAUUUCUAAUCCUGUCCAUUCUGAUCACUUCCAGCAACCAUCUUAACAUCUCCAACCAUCCCACCUCCAAGUCCUCUCAAAGGGCACAACUGAA